CUACCCGGGUAUCUAAUCCCGUUCGCUCCCCUAGCUUUCGCGUCUCAGUGUCAGAAAAGGUCCAGGAGCUCGCUUUCGCCACGGGCGUUCCUUCCGAUCUCAACGCAUUUCACCGCUCCACCGGAAGUUCCAGCUCCCCCUACCCCCCUCCAGGUCGCUCGUAUCGGUGCCCGUUCCUCGGUUGAGCCGAGGGAUUUCAGCAGCCGACGUGGCAACCCACCUACACGCGCUUUAAGCCCAGUGAUUCCGAAUAACGUUCGCACGGUUCGUCUUACCGCGGCUGCUGGCAC
rnacentral:rRNA from 1 species